CAAAAUUAUGUUAUUGGGGAGCAAAAUGAUCAACUUACUUUUUUCAGGGCUGGGUAGGUUAUAAUUCAGGUUUACUGAAUAGUCUUAUUCAGUCUGUUUCCAUGGUAUAAAAGUUGCCUGUUUUUGAUUGUUUUGGUUCAGGUUUGUCUGUGUAGUCAAGUGAAGUUAAUUAUGUAGAAACAUUAACUUUUGCAGUGCUGACAGUACAAUUCUGAAUUCCCGCCUCACAUGCCAACAUUAUCUCCAUAUUAUUAUAAUUUCCUCAUGUUUUCUAAUCUGCUUAGCACUCUAUUUCAUCUAUUUGAACAUGAGGUAGAUAUCCAAUUAUACAACUACACAAUUAAAGUUAGAUGUCAGACAUGCUGAUAAGGGGUAUGCAGAAUCAUAUAAAGAAGAAAAAAAAAGCCAGACAGGAGUGAAAAGAAGCCAGUCAUAAAGUAAAGUGAGACCACACAACUAAUUGAAGGGGAAACCUAUCUUCUCCUUCACCAUUAUAAUCCCUUGGAUCUGGAUUUUUUGGAAUGGCUCAGUGGACUAAAUCUGAACUGAUUUUUCUUCUUUGAGUGCAGGGAAGAAAAUUUAACUAGAGCAGUGACCUGUACCUACAGCAUAGACAAAACUACUUUCUGGGGAUUUAGGAAAGGGAAACUGUUGACUGUGACAUUUGCAGACAGAUGGAACUCUCUGUAAGACUUUAACACUGCCAGUUUCCCUCUAAGUGGCUACCUAAGUAUGAUCUGCUUUAAACUGCUUCCAGGAGGACAGCCAUGUUAUUAUUGAGCACACUGCCCUGCAUCAGGACCAAGGGCUCAUCUUAUCAUCGCCAAAUAAGCUGAAGAUGGAUAGAACUUCAAAAAUAAGAGUACAUUACAUCUUCAUUUUGAAAACCCAUUAUGCCCACUGGAACAGAGAGUCAGGACAAGUGAAGAAUAAGAUAUUAGUGAUUUUCCAUUAUACCUCUCUUUGCAUUUGCUAUUGCUUCUGGCUGGCUGGGUGACUUAACUAUUGCCUAAGGAGCAGGAGGAGUCUUCCUGGAGACAACAGUAGCUCUCAUAUCUUUGUCAUUGUGUAAAGGAUGAAAUUUGUCAGGACCAUCACAUACCCAGAGCUGUCAGUUGCUGAAGUGAAUACGACCUUCCAGGUGGCUGGCUGGGUAGGCUAUAUAUCUUCCUUUCAGAAAUGAAUUUUAGUAUAUAGUUUCCCUACAUCAUUGUUAGAUUUCUCUUGUUAAUUCAAGCUAGUUCAACUGUACUCAAGACACAUUCCAUUUACACAGCCUCUGGAAACAUCUUUGCAACUGGAAUAUCAGUGCUGAUUCUCAGGAUGGAUUACUGCAUGCCCAUCAUGUUUUUAGUGGUCUCACUUCCCCACAGCCCAGAAGUGGGUGCAUCACAGUGCUUCAUUUUGACACUUGUAAAAUGCCUGCAUAUGUCAGGAAAUGCCCAGCUCAGUACUUGCUUCACAUCCUGUUUGUAGAAGACAAUCAGCUGUACUAAAAGCCUAUCUCAAAUCAGCCGGGGAAGGCAAUGUUAUACGAAUUACUAUAAAAAUCAUAUGCAACGUGCUAAGAUUUUGUUCUGCUGCCUUAUUUUCUAAUCAAAACAAAUCCAAAUGUUUUGACGUAGAUUUACUGGACAUUACAUGAAAAUUUUGUUAGUAUUUUAUGGCUAAAUUCUCAGCAUUAGAUUUGAUUUCUUUGUGACUUUAAUAUCACAUUGGAUCACAGUUCUGUCAUGUUUUUUGACCAUUGAGCCUGGGGCUUCUGGUCCUCUUCUACUGCAAACUGCAGAGGAAAACCUCAUUACACCACUGUUUUUCAGUAAAAAAAUACUUUUAACAGAGUCAUUAAAAAAGCUGCUUUUAUGGAAAAAGCCAUCAAACAGUUUAUAUGUUGUAAAGAAACAUAAGUAUUACAUGGUCUCUGCAUGUUCCAUAUGUAACUAUCUGGCUGUUCAAAAGAAAACACACAGGCACCAAAGCUUUUAUGUUCAAAUUGCUAUGUCUUAUGAAUACUAGAAAUAAUAUGUUUUCUAAAAACCUUCUCACUACAACAUUUUGACCCAGCCAUGGUGAGCUUUGAUACUUUCACUACAUCUUAAAAUCAGACAAACCUCCUUAUUUAAAUUGCAUUUGGUCACCAGGUCCUGAUUCUGGAAAGAACAUUAACUUUUAUUCUGCUCCAUGCCUCUCAUUAGACAAUUUAUCCUUUAUCUGUUAGUCAUAGGGUUUUUGUAGAUUAUUUUACCAAUAAAAGAGUUUUCCAGAUACUCUGUAACAGCCUUGUUUCUGGCAUUAAGAACAUAAUCCUUGAAAAAAUUGCUCUGCUAUGGAACUGAAUUUAUGGAUUUUGUAUGGAAGGAAGA